rnacentral:rRNA from 1 species
CAGCAGCCGCGGUAAUACCGGCGGCCCGAGUGGCGGUCACUAUUAUUGGGCUUAAAGCGUCCGUAGCCGGGGUGGGAAGUCCUCCGGGAAAUCUGGCCGCUUAACGGUCAGAAUGCCGGAGGAUACUCCCAGCCUAGGGAGCGGGAGAGGCCGAGGGGAUUCCCGGAGUAGGGGGGAAAUACUAUAAUCCCGGGAGGACCACCUGUGGCGAAGGCGCUCGGCUGGAACGCGUCCGACGGUGAGGGACGAAGGCCAGGGGAGCAAACCGGAUUAGAUACCCGGGUAGUCCUGGCUGUAAACGAUGCGGACUUUGUGUCGGACAAGCUAUGAGCUUGUCCGGUGCCGGAGGGAAACCGUUAAGUCCGCCGCCUGGGGAGUACGGCCGCAAGGCUGAAACUUAAAGGAAUUGGCGGG